UUUGGAAUAUAACUCCCAAUUUUGUUUUGGCUCCAGAUCUCAUAUAACACAGUUUCACACAACACAGUGUUUUUUAGGAACCUAUCUACCAUGUUAUAGGAGGGAUACCUGUACUAAACUCCCCACAAAAUAACACCCAACAAUUUAUAGUAAACUAAGAAAUGAUAAGACCAAACAUUAUAAAGGGAAGAGACUAUGUUUACUGUAUCCCAAUAUUCAACAAAGAUCUAGAUAGGACAAAGGAGUAUAUUGGCGUCACUAGCAGGAAUCUAGAGAAUCACUUAACUGAAUAUAAAUGUGACAUCAAGUUUGAUAGAACCAACACUGUUCUCUCAACCCAAGCUUACAAAUUGUUGACAAUUACAAUUUAAUUUUAAAUUUCUAUACAAAAAGGUCAUAUUAUAGAAACUUAUUUAUAUUUAUAAAAAAC
rnacentral:lncRNA from 1 species